rnacentral:lncRNA from 1 species
AUGGUGCAUUUAUUAAAGCACGAUAGCAAACGCUCUUGUUUCCUGCGCCUUACUCCACACCCACUACAUCAAGCGUUACACUUAUUUAAGGCCUUCAUCCGCCUUUACCUCGCCCACCACAAGGAGGAGCGCAUCGACGUGCUGCAGCUGGCCCAAGAACCCUUCCUCAUGCCCCCCUUCCGCAAGGCCCUGGCCACCGGUCCUGGGCCGUUGGCAUCGGGCUCCACGCCCUCCACCUCCAGCGCAUACACAGCAGUGCCUCGAACUGAGGCGCCCAACACCAUCCCAGAGGGACCCUGUGG